UUUAAAUGAUUUAUAAGGGCACUUUCAUCUCUGGCAUUUUGUGAUUGCACAUAAUUUGGCAGAACAUUUACCAUGUCCUCACUGCCUUUGAACAUUCUGCCCUAAAGUGAUCUGGAAUAGCGAUGGUUAGAGACACUUUCUUGUAUUGAUAUAUGAAAUGAAGUCAUGGAGUCCUACUCAAGCUGCAUGUGAAGACAAAGCCAGAAAUUAAGAGUCUGCACCCAGCGGGGACUUCACUAGAACCUACCCUACUGGCACUUUGAUCAUGAACGUCUAGCCUUCAGAACUACUGGUCCUUUGUGCCUUAGACCUACAGCUUCUGCUUGGAGGGAUUUGUGAUGGAGACAGACGUGUGGAUGCUUGGACAGG